CUUCCUCUUCACCAGAAAAGUAGGAUUCAUUAUUGAGUUCAUCAAGGUAGCUCUUGAGGAUGUGUAUGCUUGAAUUUUCUUAAGGCCAAUUCUUGUUUACUUUCUUGCCUCCAUUGGAGUUUAGUGCUUGUAAUCAUUAAGUCAAUAAGAGAUAACACUUCUUGAAUCAAAUCUUUGACAAUGCCUACAAGAAUCUUCAGCUUUGAACCUUUGGUAGGCUUCUCGGAUCAAUAGGCAAGUCUGGGAUAGU
rnacentral:lncRNA from 1 species